rnacentral:lncRNA from 1 species
AGUGAGAGUAAACUGUCAAGACUUAAAACUUACUUACUUUACCUUCACCAUGGGACUUGUAACUGUCACUUCUGUCUUGAGUAGUUAAAAGAUAGAACAGUUUAGCCAAGUGCCAUGUCUCUUAUUCUUGAUCAGCUAUAGCUCUAGAGUUUUUGCAGAUUUUCAAAUAAAACUUAGAAAUUCCUUGUAUGAUUCUCUCAGGUCUCUCUUUUGUGGUAUUUUUGGAUCCUUACCAAGGCAGUGAUGGUAUAUGCCUUCUCUCAAGAUAUGUAGUAUUUGUGGUAUGAGGCAUAGUGACAUUGCCUUUUCUCUCACCCUACUCUAAUAAGGCUUUAAUAUCUGGAGUUCAUAGGUGGGAGAUAAAGUAUACAUACUUACAAGACAUUUAUUGCAUAGUCAAACCAUGGAUCCAAAGAAACAAAUCAAUAAGCCAAAUCAAGAUGUGCAUGUGUGGUGAAUGAAUGGUGUAUGGUGAUAAUGGUGAUAACAAUGGUGGAAACAAUGGUGGUGGAAGUCUAAUUCUACUUUGCUCUUUUGAGGGGAUACAUACCUUCCUUGCUUUUGAAACUUUAUGAGGAGAAUGAGAUGCUCUUCUUUUUCUUGUCUCUCAGGUGGGCAUCUUGCACCCCUAAUUCUACUGUCGGACACUUGUCCAUUUUUACCUCUCGUCUCACUUUUUUUUUCUUUCGAGGUUCCGAGCACUUGCUCCUUUUUAUUUCCUCGUAUCUCUUUUUUUUAGAGCACUCAUCUCAUGAGAUAAUAUAGCAAGUGGUACUAACAAGAUAACUUGAGCAUUUAUUUUACAAAGGGAAAAAUAGAAAUAUUUAUUUAUUUUUUUGGUUAUUCUCUCCCGGAUUAGGAGUAGAAUAUUUUUGGGUGAUUCUGGAGAUGGAAAUGGAUGGAUAUAUGUGGAUGGUACUUCCGGAGUAGAAGUAGCAUAUAUGAGUGGACGUGCAAGUGAAAUCUUGAUUUAACCACAUGACAAGCUCCUAAGGGUCUACACAGCUUGACCACACUCAAUGCUCAUAAGCAGUAAAUAAUAAAUGUGUGGCUCAAAGUCUAGCAAGCAUGCAUAUAUGGUCGUGGUAGGAAUUUAAGCUCUCAUCAUACAGGAACUCAUCAUGCAACAUUUUAAAGAUUUUCAAAGAUAAAAUUCUCCAGAAUUCUAGCAUCUCUAGGAACAGAUAAACAGCAGCUUAACCUUCCAAUAUCAUAUCCGUUAACAACUUAGACUUCAGAUUAAGUUUUCAUCCCACAAGUUUAGGUCUAGAGCAAGAUUUAAAUUAUAACAGUUAUAUCUAAACUUGAGAGAGAACUUAAAAUUUACAAAUUAGGCAGAGCAACUAUUUAUCAUAUCCAUGCUAGAGUUUUAUUUAGAUACAGAUUAGCAUAGCCACUUUAUUUAUUUAUUAAACACACUAAGCAAAAGAUAUAUAUAUAAAUAUAUAAGCCUAAAAUCUUUAUUUGGUUUUCCAUAGUUUAUGUAUUUUAAUAUUCUAAUAUAAUAUAAGUAUAAAGAUAGAUAGAUAGAAAUACUUAUCGAGAUAAAUGGGGUGCUCUCCCCCAAGCUGAAUUUUGACGUAAUUUCUCUUGAUGUAGCUAGCAGGUGGCAGAGGUGUAUUUGAAAGUCAGCAGUAUUCUGACAGCGAUUAGAAUGUCCUCCGUCUGCCAGUCUUCUUGAUUCUUAAAUUCUGUGGAGUUUAAAUAGACAACAAAGCUUGUGGAACUGAUUAAGUGUUAGCAUAAAUAUCUAGCCUUUUUCAUGUUGAGACUCCUUAAUAAUUAUUACUCCCUGUUUUUAUAUUUUUAUUUUAUAAAGCAGAAAAGAAAAUUUUAUUUUAUUUUUAUGCCACCACAGUGAAUGUACUUAUGGGUUUUAUGCCACUCGUCUACUCACAUGGGGCUUACUGUUUUUUCACAUUUUUAUUUUCUUUCUAAGAUAGUAUGAACAUGAUUAACUAAGUAAACUAUUUGAAAUAAUUGAAAGGGAAAGGAUAACUACCAAGUUUACCUCUUGGCAAGGCGUUCGGUGUUUUUAAGUCCUUCGAACGGGACUCUCCAUUUUCUUAAUCGUCCUGAGGUUCGUUGGGUGGCGUAGUCGGUACUUCCGGCAGCGCCUCCUCUUCUUGUAUAGUUAUCUUCAUUUUCCAUACCUGACUCGGUGCUUCAAUCUCCUCUGGAUAAUUCUGUUUAAACUCUAUGUCUUCUGACCUUACAACUUCUCCUUCAUAGUCUGCCCAUCCGUCCUUGAUGAUCUGCCUCCUCUGGUUGCGGUUGCGUCGCUUUCUUACCUGCUUAGAUUCUUCAAUGAUAUAGUUAGGGUCAGUAAAAUAACGGCGUACCUUCUCUGAGGGGAAGUGCAUAUGGACUUCUCCGGUUCCAAUGUAGAUAAUUGCUUUAACGGUGCUGAGGAACGGUCUUCCAAGGAUGACGGGUGGAUCAUACUCGUCUUCUCCCAUGUCAACAACUUGAAAGUCUGUGUAGACAAAGUGAUCGUCUAAUUUGACUGGGACAUCAGAUACUAUUCCUUGAACUUCUCGAAAUGUCUGAUCUGCCAUCUGGAGCUGAAUGUAUGUUGGUCUUAGUGGCAUGGUUCCGAACAAGAGCCGAUAGGUGACUGCAGCCAUUAUGUUGACGCCCGAUCCGGUGUCGCAAAUUGUCAUGUAGAAGCUAUAUCCAUGUAUGGAGCAGUAAAUGCUUGGCAUUCCUGGGUCGUCCUUCUUGGUCAAAAACGGUGACUUCAGUUGGUGAUCUUGGCCUCCAUGAACUACAGUGACCAUCUUAGCUGACUCGGUCCACACUUGUUUGUUCCUGUUUCUUCUGUUGGUCCUCUUCCUUGAUUUACGUCUGGAUUGAUCUUGAAUUUGUGUAGUCUUGUUGUUGAAGAAAAAUGUCUCCUUCUUCCCUUUGACGUAGAAACUGAUCUUGGCAGCACUGGCGUAGAUGAUAGCUCCCGUGGUGUUCAAGAAUGGCCUCCCUAGGAUGAUAGGUGCUCUCUCAUCAUUUCCGGUCUCUACCACUACGAAGUCUGCUGGGGCAUAUAAGGUACCAACUCGGACACAAAGGUUCUUCACUAUUCCUUUUGGAAAAGUUAUCGUCUGAUCUGUAAACUGCAAACACAUGGUUGUCUCUAAUAAAGGAUAUGUAAAGAAUUUUUCAUAGAGUACCCUGGGUAUAAUGUUGACGCUAGAGCCAAAGUCACAGAGUGCUUCUGGGAAGUCCACCAUGCCGAUGGAGAUCGGGAUGACGGGGCGUCCUGGAUCGCCUCUCUUGACCGGCAGACGGUCAGUAGAAAAUUCAGUGACGGGGUUACUCCAAUUACCUGCAUCAAACACGUCUACAAGAUUUGCAGAUUCUAAUCCUUCCGGUUGUGAUGGUAUACUGGGGUUAGGAGUAGGAACAGCAGCAGCUAUUUGAUUUAACUGAGAUUCAAUCAUUUUAUUAAAGCUAAUUUGAUUCUUGAUGGCAGUAGAAAAAUUAUCCAUUCUAUUAUUUAUAUUUUCUAGCAUUUUAUCAUUAGAUGCCAAUUUCUUAGAUAGGUUAUCCAUUAGCUUUCCUUGAUUAGACACUAACUCUCUCAAAGGUGGAAAAUUACUAUUGUUGUUAUAAGAAUUGUUACCUUGAUAAUUACCUGAGUAGUUAGGCCUCUGUUAAUUCCAACCUUGAUUUUGUUGAGGACGGUUGUAGUAGUAGUAGUUGUUGUUGUUGAUGUAGUUCACAUCCUCAAGUAUCUCAGGGCAGUGGUUGCCUGAGUGUCCAGUGUCUCCACACUCCUCACAAGUCAUGUGAGAGUCGUAGAUGUGCAUAACUUCUUUCUUGUCUCCAGCUCUAUCAUCGAGCUUCUUCAUGAGCAGGUCUAGCUUUGCAGACAGCAUGUCUACCUCCUUCAGCUGAUGCAUACCUCCACCUCUCUUGCGUGUCUGGGUCCUCUCUUCAUUCCAGCUUUGGUUGGACGCCAUCUUCUCCACAAGAGCUGUGGCUUGUGGUAUAGUAAGUGAUAAGAAUGCUCCUCCAGCUGCAGCAUCCAUGGUUUCUCGGGCACUGUUGCUGAGCCCAUGAUAAAACGUCUGCAUCAAUAGCCAACUCUCCAUUCCAUGAUGGGGACAUUCUAGGAUGUAGUCUUGAAAGCGCUCCCAUGCUUCUGGAACAGAUUCAUCAUUUUGUUGCUGAAAACUUGUAAUCUUCCCACGAAGAGCAUUGGUCUUGCCCAUGGGAAAGAACUUAGCCAGGAAGUUUGUUGAGCAGAGUGCCCAUGUAGUAUUCUUCUCCUUUGUAGCAUAGAACCACUGCUUCGCUCUUCCUAACAGUGAGAAUGGGAAGAGGCGAAGUAGUAUAGCGUCUUUGGAAACUCCUGCUAUGGUGAAUGUGUUGCAAAUAUCCAGGAAGUGUUGUAAAUGAGCACUAGCAUCUUCGUAUGCCUUCCCACAGAACUGGUUGGAUUGCACCAUGUUGAUAAGUCCAGGCUUGAGCUCAAAGUUGCCAUCGAUCUCUGCAGCAGGUCCAGUGCGGAUGUUGUCCGUAGUGGGAGCUAAGAACUCACGGAUCGAUUUGUUCGCCAUGGCUUCGAACUCUGAAGACAAGUUCCGGUGAUCUUCUUGAUUGGAUGAAGCUUCUUCGUGAAGUGUUGAUGAUUUCUUUAGCUUGGCUCUCGUCUUCUUGAAUAAUGCUUCGGGAUUGUCAACAAAAUUUCCUAGAAGAUGUCUUCUACUCAUACAUUCCCCUGCAUAAGAUAAAAUAGAAAAAUAUCGGGGUAAAACUGUAUGAGAGAAUAGAUAAGCUCAAUCAUAUUAGUGAUGCGAAUGAUAGCUCAAAAUCUUUUAUUCCAUUCCUGAUUGGUAAUCAACCUUCCCCGGCAACGGCGCCAAAAAUGCUUGUUGGGUAUUCUUAACAUCAUUACUAAAAGUAGACUAAGUUCUAAAUCUAGCAACGGUGCCAAAAAUGUCAAACCUAUCCCUCACACCACUUAAGCCAAGUUGUCAUCCCCAGCAUGACAUGAGAGACGUGGUAUUGAAAUAUGCAAUUGCUCUUCUAAAUAAAUAAUGAAUGGGAUCUGCAAGCGCACAGAUUAAUACCGAUGCAGCAUUUUAACCGGGAAGUAUUCCAGGUAUCGUUAUUUAUAUUUUUACCACUGGGAAGGGAUUAGCAAUCAUCACUAUUGACUACAGAAUAGAAUAUGAGAUUGAGCAUCUAUCAUUGCAUGUAUAAUUGAGAACAUUAUAUCUAACUCUUCAUACAGGGAUAAGUGUCACAUAAAAGAUAUAUGAAAUAAUAAUAGUGACAAGGAUAACUAAUCUGAUCUAGCCACAUAAUAAAUAUGAUAAGCACCUCAAUUAGAUACUCUAGAAAGUCAUUAGCAUGGUAUUAGAACGAACUACAAGAAUAUUCCCUAAGUUAUUCUUAACUAUAUAGUCUAGCAUUAUCAUAGUUAGUGCAAGCAUACUUAGCAAUCAUUGUGAGACAAGACUACGCCCAUGCAUAGUGAUAUUAGCAAGGAAUAUGAGAAACAUAGCAAUCACUCCCCUGUAAUAAUGUUGCUCUGCCAGCCCAAUACACGAGAGGGGGACUAUAUAAGAAUCAAUGAAGCUGUCACUAUCACGAACCACCCCACGAUCUGGCAUAUUGGGUACAAUCGCAGAUAAAUACGGUAUAAGCACCACGCCUACACAAUAUCUAUCAUUUACCCAUGGAUCCGAUGGAUAAACGCUAUACGAUCCUAAGCAUGUAUAUAGAUCGUAUCUAACUAAGCCAAGUACAUAACUAUGAUAAACUAAGAACAAUAUAAUCUUGAAUAUAAGCAAGUAGAGCAAAGUCAUAAGCAAUAUAUUGAAGUAGAACAAAGUCAUAUUCAUAAUAUUGAAGAACAAAGAUAAUUAGAAAGCAAUUAGAAGCACAAUUAGAGAAUUACCAAGAAUCCUCCUGACAGAUCCGGAAACCAAUCGAAGAUUGACUCCUUCUAGUUCUAAUCCUAUGUAGCUAUGCUAAUCUAGAUGUCUAAUUGAUGUGGUGGCUCUAAUCUUGAUCAGAGGCUUCUUCUCCCUUGAUGGAACAAUGAAUUAGGGUUGAGAGGCUCUCUCGUCCAGGGGCCAGGGGGUCUGGUUUUAUAGUCCCUUCAAGUGAAUAUGGGCCCUUGGAUCAUACCGACAUAGAUUGUAUGGUUUAGAUUCAUCCUUUAGGUCGGUGGAGACUUCCCGCAAAGCAGAGUCCUAUUUGGACUCCAACAGGGGGCAGGCGCCCAGUAGGACAGGGCGGGCGCCCUGUCUCUGGCCCCGUUUCGCCUCCGCUUCGGUCUCGUGGCUUCUGGAGUCUUCUAGAUGUAAGAUAAUUGCGCAGCACGUUAAUAUCUUUACGUAAUCCUGACAUGUGGGCCUUUCUUCCGUAUUUCCUGAUAACCCCCUGCAGAAAUAGACAAACACCAAAACUCGUGGAAUUCUGUCAGAUAAAACCCUAAGUCUAGAUCUUGAUUUCAUUUGGAUCCUUUUCUUUAUUUAUUUGAUAAUUAAAUUUGAUACUUAAGGACCGUCAACAAACUCCCCCAAGCUUACCUCUUGCUCGUCCCUGAGCAAGGAUAGACUCAACUAUGGACCAGAAGUAGUUGCAAUAUCUUUAAAAUUUGACGGUACACAUGCUUUUUAAAUAAGAUCUCAUCUCUGAGUGAGAGUAAACUGUCAAGACUUAAAACUUACUUACUUUACCUUCACCAUGGGACUUGUAACUGUCACUUCUAUCUUGAGUAGUUAAAAGAUAGAACAGUUUAGCCAAGUGCCAUGUCUCUUAUUCUUGAUCAGCUAUAGCUCUAGAGUUUUUGCAGAUUUUCAAAUAAAACUUAGAAAUUCCUUGUAUGAUUCUCUCAGGUCUCUCUUUUGUGGUAUUUUUGGAUCCUUACCAAGGCAGUGAUGGUAUAUGCCUUCUCUCAAGAUAUGUAGUAUUUGUGGUAUGAGGCAUAGUGACAUUGCCUUUUCUCUCACCCUACUCUAAUAAGGCUUUAAUAUCUGGAGUUCAUAGGUGGGAGAUAAAGUAUACAUACUUACAAGACAUUUAUUGCAUAGUCAAACCAUGGAUCCAAAGAAACAAAUCAAUAAGCCAAAUCCAGAUGUGCAUGUGUGGUGAAUGAAUGGUGUAUGGUGAUAAUGGUGAUAACAUUGGUGGAAACAAUGGUGGUGGAAGUCUAAUUCUACUUUGCUCUUUUGAGGGGAUACAUACCUUCCUUGCUUUUGAAACUUUAUGAGGAGAAUGAGAUGCUCUUCUUUUUCUUAUCUCUCAGGUGGGCAUCUUGCACCCCUAAUUCUACUGUCG